rnacentral:rRNA from 1 species
AUUGAACGCUGGCGGCAGGCCUAACACAUGCAAGUCGAGAGGUGCGUCGGACGGGUGAGUAAUGCCUAGGCAUCUGCCCGGUAGCGGGGGAUAACGUCCGGAAACGGGCGCUAAUACCGCACACUAUAAGACGAGUCUAGGUGGGAUUAGAUAGCUGGUUGGGUAAAGGCUUACCAAGGCGACGAUCCGUAUCUGGUCUGAGAGGAUAAUCAGUCACACUGGGACUGAGACACGGUCCGGGCUCCUACGGGAGGCAGCAGGGGUGAAUCUUGGACAAUGGGCGGAAGCCUGAGCCAGCGAUGCCGCGUGUGUGAAGAAGGUCUUGGGGUUGUAAAGCACUUUAAGUUGGGAGGCGUUACCAACAGAAGAAGCACCGGCUAACUGCGUGCCAGCAGCCGCGGUAAUAC